UACGGAGGAUGCGAGCGUUAUCCGGAUUUAUUGGGUUUAAAGGGUGCGUAGGCGGGAUGCCAAGUCAGCGGUAAAAAUGCAGUGCUCAACGCCGUCGAGCCGUUGAAACUGGCGUUCUUGAGUGGGCGAGAAGUAUGCGGAAUGCGUGGUGUAGCGGUGAAAUGCAUAGAUAUCACGCAGAACUCCGAUUGCGAAGGCAGCAUACCGGCGCCCUACUGACGCUGAGGCACGAAAGCGUGGGUAUCGAACAGG
rnacentral:rRNA from 1 species